rnacentral:rRNA from 1 species
AUUGAACGCUGGCGGCAGGCCUAACACAUGCAAGUCGAGCGAGUGGCGGAAGGGUGAGUAAUGUCUGGGAAACUGCCCGAGGGAGGGGGAUAACUAAUGGAAACGGUAGCUAAUACCGCAUACCAUCGGAUGUGCCUAGUCGGUAUUAGCUAGUAGGUGGGGUAACGGCUCACCUAGGCGACGAUGCGUAGCCGGUCUGAGAGGAUGACCAGCCACAUUGGAACUGAGACACGGUCCAGACUCCUACGGGAGGCAGCAGUGGGGAAUAUUGCACAAUGGGCGCAAGCCUGAUGCAGCCAUGCCGCGUGUAUGAAGAAGGCCUUCGGGUUGUAAAGUACUUUCAGCGGGGAGGCGUUACUCGCAGAAGAAGCACCGGCUAACUCCGUGCCAGCAGCCGCGGUAAUAC